UGGUGGUGGUGACCGGAUCUCAAUCUCCUCUCCCUUGUCUCUUGUUUCCAGAUCCGGAUCCAGAUCUAGGCUAAGGUGGAGUGUCUUGAACCCAUCUUGUUCUCAUGUACUGUAUACUCCUUUAUGUUGGAGUUAGGGUUGAUUAGACCCUGUUUGAAAGCUAGGAUGAUAGAUCAUGAUUAUUGCUAGGAUGUUAGAUGAAUGGAACACGAUGCAUAAGAACCCUCAUAUUGUUAAAUGGGACUUAGUAAACUGAAAUGGAGUUGUGGUAGCGAUGAUUGAUUGGUAAUUUAUGCUUGUAUGUUUGGAUGUGUAGUCCCAUGAGUGGUUUGUGAUUAAAGCUAGGAUGCUAGAGAGAAAUGAAUGCUAAGCUGAUAGAUGAGUAAUGAUUGUUAAUGUUAUUGAAGUAGAACUUGAGUGCAAUGUGUAUUGUGUGUGGCACCGAUAACGGGUGGCGUCUAGUGAAUGAGUCCAAGUACAAGUCUAAAUGAAAAGGAAAGCGAAUGAGAAUGGGAAGGGAUAAGU
rnacentral:lncRNA from 1 species